UCUGCAGCCAGUCUGGGCCUCUCUUCCCUAUGGCUACCAGCACAGCAAGAGGAGAGGCUGUGGUCCUUUGUCUCACCAUGGGCCAGCUUAUGGAAACCACAGACCAUUCAUGGAGUGAAAGAAGGGAAAAGAAUUAGCAAAAUGAACUUGUGAAUGUAUGAACGUAAGAACUGACGGGAAUGAUGAGAUCAGUGCUUCUCAGUAUGCGGGGCCAGAACCAGCAGCAUCCAAUCUGGAGACGUGUUAGAAAAGCAGAUUCUCAGGCCCCACCCCAGACCUACAGAGUCAACAACUCUGCACGUGGGGCUUAGUAAGCCAAAUUUUAACAAGCCUUCCAGAAGAUUCUGAUGCAGCUCAGGAUACUGUCUGCCUGGAACAGGUGAAGUUCAUCAAUUUAAUUUGACCAAACCACUGGCAAACACCCACUCCUUCCUGGACUCUGCUCUGUGUGCUGGAAGCACAGACACAUAUAAGACCCACUGUGACCUUGAGAAGAUUCGUCUAGAUGAGAAGACCUGUGGGCGACUGCAGCUUGCUAGUGCCUGGCAUAUGGAGAAGUUUCCUGUGGACAACCACGGUCCGAGAGCAGAUGAUCCUCUUUCUGAUACGUCAUCAGAAGGUCAAGAGUAGCCUAAAACUCUGUGACACAAUGCCUACGUCAUUCCCUCACUUCAUCUCAUCAUGUAGGCAUUUUAUCAUCUCACGUCAUCACAAGAAGGGUAAGUACAGUACCAUAAGUUAUCUUGAGAAAGAGAGACAGAAACCACAUUCACAUAACUUUUACUACAGUAUGUUUUUAUAAUCACUCUGUUUUAUUUCUACUUAUUGUUGUUCAUUCUCUUACUGUGCUUAAUUUAUAAAUUAAACAUUGUCAUAGAUAUGUGUAUAUAUAGGAAAAAACAUAGUGUAUAUGGGGUUCAGUACACAGUAUAUAGUGUGGUUUCAGGCAUCCACUGCAGGUCUUGGAAUGCAUCCCCCAUGCAUGGGGGGACUACUGCAGAUGCUGAAAGGAAG